GAUGAAGAACGUAGCGAAAUGCGAUAAGUAAUGUGAAUUGCAGAAUUCAGUGAAUCAUCGAAUCUUUGAACGCACCUUGCGCUCCUUGGUAUUCCGAGGAGCAUGCCUGUUUGAGUGUCAUUAAAUUCUCAACCUCACCCGUUUUCUGAACGGGUCGAGGCUUGGAUGUGGGGGUUUGUGCAGGCUGCCUCACUGGCGGUCUGCUCCCCUGAAAUGCAUUAGCGAGGUUCAUGCUGAACUUCCGUCUAUUGGUGUGAUAAUUAUCUACGCCGUGGACGAGGAUCAGACUCGCUUCUAACUGUCCGCGAGGACAAUACCUUGACAAUUUGACCUCAAAUCAGGUAGGACUACCCGCUGAACUUAAGCAUAUCAAUAAGCGGAGGA
rnacentral:misc_RNA from 1 species